AAGAAAUUAGGUUCAAUCUUCAA
rnacentral:tRNA from 8 species